rnacentral:rRNA from 1 species
UGCUAAUACCGGAUAACAAACAGAUGAUGCCUAUCAACUGUUUAAAAGAUGGUUCUGCUAUCACUCUUGGAUGGACCUGCGGUGCAUUAGCUAGUUGGUAGGGUAACGGCCUACCAAGGCGAUGAUGCAUAGCCGAGUUGAGAGACUGAUCGGCCACAUUGGGACUGAGACACGGCCCAAACUCCUACGGGAGGCAGCAGUC